AGAGUUUGAUCCUGGCUCAGGACGAACGCUGGCGGCACGCUUAACACAUGCAAGUCGAACGAGAGAAGAGAAGCUUGCUUUUCUGAUCUAGUGGCGGACGGGUGAGUAACACGUGAGCAAUCUGCCUUUCAGAGGGGGAUACCGAUUGGAAACGAUCGUUAAUACCGCAUAAUAUAACGAAACCGCAUGAUUUUGUUAUCAAAGAUUUAUCGCUGAAAGAUGAGCUCGCGUCUGAUUAGCUAGUUGGUAAGGUAACGGCUUACCAAGGCGACGAUCAGUAGCCGGACUGAGAGGUUGAUCGGCCACAUUGGGACUGAGACACGGCCCAGACUCCUACGGGAGGCAGCAGUGGGGAAUAUUGCACAAUGGAGGAAACUCUGAUGCAGCGAUGCCGCGUGAGGGAAGAAGGUUUUAGGAUUGUAAACCUCUGUCUUUGGGGACGAAAAAUGACGGUACCCAAGGAGGAAGCUCCGGCUAACUACGUGCCAGCAGCCGCGGUAAUACGUAGGGAGCGAGCGUUGUCCGGAAUUACUGGGUGUAAAGGGAGCGUAGGCGGGAUCGCAAGUCAGAUGUGAAAACUAUGGGCUUAACCCAUAAACUGCAUUUGAAACUGUGGUUCUUGAGUGAAGUAGAGGUAAGCGGAAUUCCUAGUGUAGCGGUGAAAUGCGUAGAUAUUAGGAGGAACAUCAGUGGCGAAGGCGGCUUACUGGGCUUUAACUGACGCUGAGGCUCGAAAGCGUGGGGAGCAAACAGGAUUAGAUACCCUGGUAGUCCACGCCGUAAACGAUG
rnacentral:rRNA from 1 species